rnacentral:rRNA from 1 species
UACGUAGGUCCCAAGCGUUGUCCGGAUUUAUUGGGCGUAAAGCGAGCGCAGGUGGUUUAUUAAGUCUGGUGUAAAAGGCAGUGGCUCAACCAUUGUAUGCAUUGGAAACUGGUAGACUUGAGUGCAGGAGGGGAGAGUGGAAUUCCAUGUGUAGCGGUGAAAUGCGUAGAUAUAUGGAGGAACACCGGUGGCGAAAGCGGCUCUCUGGCCUGUAACUGACACUGAGGCUCGAAAGCGUGGGGAGCAAACAGG